rnacentral:rRNA from 1 species
CGCCUGUUUAACAAAAACAUGUCUUACUGAUAAUAAUUUUUAGUAAAAUCUGCCCAAUGAUAAUAUUUAAUGGCUGCAGUAUAAAUAACUGUACAAAGGUAGCAUAAUAAUUAGUUUUUUAAUUGAAAACUAGAAUGAAAGAUUUAAUGAAAUAUAAUCUAUAUAAAUUAAAAAAAAAAUUAAAAUUAAAUUUUAAGUUAAAAUUCUUAAAUAUAAUUAAAAGACGAGAAGACCCUUUAGAAUUUAAUUAAUUAAAUUAUUAAUAUUUUUAUAAUAUAAAAUUAAAUAAAGUGAUUAAUUUAAUUGGGGUAAUUUUAAAAUUAAAAAAACUUUUAAAUAAAAAAACAUUUAUCUAUGAAUAAAUAAACCUAAAAUUUAGAUAUUUUAAAAUAAUUACCUUAGGGAUAACAGCGUAA